UUUUGCUAAUUUUGACAAUCACAGAGAUUAUUAGACAGAACUAUUUUAUUUUCAAUUUCGUUUUCUUUCAUUUUACAUAUUGAUGUAGGCUCUACUCGUGUAAGAGGAGAGUCCCAAGAACAAGAUGGACCUUUCUAAUCUCAGAACGGACACUAGACUCGGCCGAACCCGAUCCGAUCGCAGAGGCUGAGAGUUGAACCCAUUAAGAUUUACUCAUAUUUUUCAGGUUCUGUUGUAUGUUCUGCUUGCCCUGCAACAUAAUCAAGAAGCCCUUCACCUGCUUGUGCACCAUGGGCGUCAGAAGCCAACUGUGAAACACCACCAAAUGCUAUAAUCAACACCAAGAACACAGUUGUUGAGGCAAAAAGAGGCCAAAAAUAUGCAAGAAUGGUGAGAAAUCUAGGAGCUGCAUAUAAUAGGAUUGAAAGAACAAGUGAAGCUAUGAUUGCUACAACAAAAUGAUAUCUAUAUUGGAGGAUCUUUUCUGGGAUAUCCAUGAAUUUUGCCUCUUGAAUUUGUUAUCAGAACUCCUGGGAGAAAUAGUGAGUGAGAGAUGAGGAUGGUUUUUAUUUCUCUUUGAGGAGUUGUACAAUGG
rnacentral:misc_RNA from 1 species